rnacentral:rRNA from 1 species
UACAGAGGGUGCGAGCGUUGUCCGGAAUCACUGGGCGUAAAGGGCGCGUAGGUGGCGCGACAAGUCAGUGGUGAAAGCUCGACGCUCAACGUCGAGUCGGCCACUGAGACUGUUGGGCUUGAGCACUGUAGAGGCUAAUGGAAUUCCGGGUGUAGCGGUGGAAUGCGUAGAGAUCAGGAAGAACACCCGUGGCGAAGGCGGCUCUCUGGGACGGUACUGACGCUGAGGAGCGAAAGCGUGGGGAGCAAACAGG